GUGAGCGGAAGCAACCAUGCAGGCUCUGAUAAAAUAGUUUAAUAACGUCCUAAUAUCGAUAUUUCGGGCAAAGAAACCUACUAGUAGUGUGGAAAUUACAUCCAGUAUUAACUGAAUUUUAGUUUUUUGAUGCGAUAAAGUUACUCUCUGUCAAUUCAAGUGUAAAUAAGAUGGCUAAUACUAACCAAGCAGAUACAGGGCUAGCAGAACAUGGUUAUAACUUGACCGCUCUCACGGAGGCAUAUGAUGAGUCAGAAAUUGAAAACAUGUUGGUAGACACUACAAAAGCAAGGUAUGAACACACACCGCUGCCCAGCCCGAACCCCAAGAAAGCAAGAAUGAAGGCGAAAGACAAAAGCAAACAAGCAGAUGAAAUCACAAACGCAGUGAUUUUUGGUGCAAUCCAAACCUUAAUUAAGCGUUUUGACGAGCAAGAUCAAAGAAUGAAAAACGUUGAAAAAAGAAUGGAGGAAAAUGCACAAGCAGUUAAACAAAACAAAGAAGAUAUUCACAGAAUGAAAGAGGAAAUUAAGGAUUUGAGAGAGGAGAACAGCUCACUGAAACAACUGAGUUUGGAGUAAGCCAGAUAUGAGAGAAGAUGGGAGCUCAGACUAAUCGGCCUGCCAGAAAGAGAGAGAAGACACAAGGGAAACAGUGAUUGGAUUUCUUACUCGGGUAAUUCCGCUGUCUGUGGAGAAACUUCGGGGGUCAGUGGACACAGUGCAUCGUUUAGGAAAGAGGAACGACGCCGCUACUAACAGGUUACCCAGGCCGGUGAUCAUCCAGUUCGCAAUGCGGACUGUUCGUGACAAAGUGUUGAAAAGCUCGAGAGAGGCAAGAGUAUGUAAAGAGAUGAACAUCCAGUUCAAAGAAGAUUUUUCAAAGGAAGAUCACGAAGCGAAGAGAGUGCAAGAAGCCAGGAAAAAGGGGAAAAGAGCUUUCCUAAAAGAAGGCUAUGCACUCAUUGAUGGACUGAGAGUUGACCCAUAGCUGUUGAUCAUGAAAGUCAUUCGUUGAAGAACACAAGAAAACGUCUCUCAAGAAAAAUCUCUCGCCAAUUCAAAAGGAUAUUGCUCCUUCAACACGUUAAAAGGUAUUUUCGACCUGUCGUUUGAUCAGAUACAUUCAGAAGUAAUCGACUUAACACAAUCAAGGCCUGAAGAAGAGGCCGAAACUCCAGACGCUUCCUCUCCAUCAAGAUAUGUAAUAGCUGACACUCCGCCACCGAAAUCAAGAUUGUGGUAUAGACCAUGGAAUCUGCCCUCACAUCAAGUUGUUUCCAGGCGUAUAGAGGAAUUUAAUGGUGAAGAUGGAAAUGACCAGCUACCCCCCUUCGGUACUAAUCCCAAUUCUCAGGACAAUUCACAAGUACUCUACGCUCGGACUAUUCCUCCUUCUCCGAAGUUCCUCCUUCUCAGAUUUCAGCGCAAGUGCAUCGAAGUUAUUAACCAAGCUCUUGCUCUGAUCCAGGAUAUCUGCAAGAAGUUGCUACUUACGAUUCUGACGAGGCAUACCGAGAAGCUCCAGAGGAGCAAAAAAUCAUAGCAGGUGCUUACGAUUCUGACGAGGCGUACCGAGAUUUACCCGAAGUCCUCCUGGGCCCUGCACAGAAUACAACCAGCAAAACUGUUUCUCUGCGUAAUUGCCGACAACAAAUACUAGAUCGUAUUCUACCAAGCGCUAAAGCUACAAUGUAGCUGUAUCAGGCUCCAAAGAUCUGCAAGAUGGCAGUGCUCAUCAAUCAUUGUUUGAGAGUUCUAAUGGUGAAGAGGAAGCAGAUCCACAUUUGUUUUUCAGAAAAAAUACGG